CGCGCGGUGACCGUCGAGGUGACCUGCACCUGGCUCCAUGGCGGAACCGGCUGGCACGGAUUAUUCCCCUCUCGGGAGAGGUCUGCAGCCGGGCUUCAGUGCUUCAGUUCGUGGCCUGGCAUUUUGUGAAGAGUGUCUUCAUCUCUGCAUCCCUAGUGCAACAGAGCAUGAUAAAAAUUCAAUAAAUAUUUAUUGAAGAGUCUUGUUGUCUUUUGGGAAAGGAACUCUAUGGUUACCUUUACUCUAAGUUAAAAACAACAACAACAACAACAACAAAAACACAAAACCCUGAGGCUCAGAAGAUAAAUAUUUGCUGAAGAUCACUGUGCUUAUUAGAUGGGUGUUACUGAUUCUUACCUCAGAGAAGAGAAUGUCAUGGAGACAAAAUGAUCUGCUUAGAGUUCUGCACCCCCCAGCAUGGAGAGCAGAGCGCAAAGAUUUCUUCCGGACUCUCACAUUCCCCUUGGAAUCCAAGAACUGGUCUACUGUCACAACACUUUAGUACCCUCUUAGAUGGGGAUCUCACUCUGUUUCCCAGGCUGGUCUCAAACUCCUGGCUUCAAGCAAUCCUCCUGCUUUGGCCUCCCAAACUUCUGGGAUUACAGAUAUGAGCCACCACGGCUGGCUGACAGGCACCAAAUUCUAGGAGAGGACUUCAAUAGACUCCCAAGGAGGCAGCAGAAACUGGGGUAAUCACAACGGUCAACAGCAGCAAAGGCAGCACUUUCUGA
rnacentral:antisense_RNA from 1 species